rnacentral:rRNA from 1 species
CCCGCUGAACUUAAGCAUAUCAAUAAGCGGAGGAAAAGAAACCAACAGGGAUUGCCUCAGUAACGGCGAGUGAAGCGGCAACAGCUCAAAUUUGAAAUCUGGCCCCCUCGGGGUCCGAGUUGUAAUUUGGAGAGGAUGCUUCGGGUGUGGCCCCGGUCUAAGUUCCUUGGAACAGGACGUCACAGAGGGUGAGAAUCCCGUACGUGCCCGGUGGCCGCCCCCGUGUGAAGCUCCUUCGACGAGUCGAGUUGUUUGGGAAUGCAGCUCAAAAUGGGUGGUAAAUUUCAUCUAAAGCUAAAUAUUGGCCAGAGACCGAUAGCGCACAAGUAGAGUGAUCGAAAGAUGAAAAGCACUUUGGAAAGAGAGUUAAACAGUACGUGAAAUUGUUGAAAGGGAAGCGCUGGCAACCAGACUUGCGCGGGGUCGAUCAUCCGGUGUUCGCACCGGUGCACUCGGCCCCGCGCAGGCCAGCAUCGGUCUGGGCGGCUGGAUAAAGGCCUUGGGAAUGUGGCUCUCUUCGGGGAGUGUUAUAGCCCAAGGUGCAAUGCAGCCCGCCUGGACCGAGGACCGCGCUCCGGCUAGGAUGCUGGCGUAAUGGUUGUCAGCGACCCGUCUUGAAACACGG